AUUGAAUUGAAGUUUCACUCUCCAAAUUGCGCCUCCAUUCUUCACCCUCACUUACGCAGCCUUUUCACUCCAUUCUUCACUGCACCACCGCCGACGGAGAGCCCAUCCGCCACCACCGCCGGUUGCCUCGCCUCCACUCGCAUCAGCCAUCACCAUCGACGGUCUGCUCAGCGGCCGCCUGGAACAGACGAAGCUCGAGUCGCUGUCUCACUUCACCGAUUUCUACAGCGGCCAGCCGGCCACCACCACUUCUGGUUUCUUCACUGCCCGUUGUUCGUAGUUCGUCUUCAAUCCUUUGAAGUUUCAGGUAUAGAGUUUUAGAGGUUUCUCUCUAUCUUUGCUAGCCACGAAAAUGCAAACUUAACUUAGAGGUUUCAGGUAUAGAGUUUUAGAGUUCAGUAUACUCUUCGAAAGAUUGGGGGAUUUUAGGUGCUUUUAUUUUUGUUGGGGGAUUUGAAUCUUUGAUAAUAUACAAAAUAUGGUUGAAACUUAUUUUUGNCAAAGAGAAACUUAAGACUAACAACGUGCUCAACUCAAAAGGCUAUUGCGAAACAAAAGAUUUCCGCUGCGUGUGUUAUCAGUCUGACUGAUCUAUUUUCUGAUAGUCAGUAAGAUUUAUAACAUCUCUGUUUAUCAAACUCAACUGAAGCCUUACGUGCAUCAGUUAAGUUCUUGUGACUUAACUGAUAACUUACUGAGGAGUCUUUCAGUAUCAGUCGUCAACCCUGUUUUGGUCAAAACUCUUUUCAGUAACAGGUGUCUGAGUUUGUGUUUAAAGUUUCGUUUUGAUCUCUAUAUUGAGAUCUUGACAAAAAUAGCCUAUAGGUGUAUUCCCCCCAAUACACCUAUUCGAGACCCUCCGGACCUAACAAACUGGCAUACGCAGACACACGGAUGACGGAAAUCCAAUUUGAUGUUGGAAUCAAAGUCUCCUUGAAAGUCUAAUCCUCGAGAGGCGUUCAUAGAUUCGGAGUUAGAGAAAAGCUUAAGCCCUGCAAAUGUUUACAAUGUUUUCGACGUAUCCUUAUUGAGAAAGACGUGUUUAAUUCAAAACACGUCAUACGUCAAGAAGAAAUUACUCUUGAACCAGACCUAAGCUUUGGAGAAAGUCCUGAGGCAAUUUUGGAUCGCGAAACGCAACAAUUGUGGACCAAAUCAAUUGCUUUAGUUAAGUGGUAAUACAUAGUACUAGCACAUUUAAUAAAAUAAAUAAGUUUAAUAUCACCCUCCAUAAAAGUAUAAGUUUUGUAGCACAUUUUCAAUGAAAGUACAUAAAUACCCUUAUGACUAGGGAUGUCAAAGCAGCCCGAAACCCGUGGGCCGGCCUGAAUAACCCGACAAAAUUAGAGGGUUAGGGCUGAAAAAUUCCAACCCGAUUACAAAUCGGGCUUAUCGGGCCAGCCCGUUCGGGCUGGCGGGUUGAAGCGGGCCAGCCCGUCGGGUUGUCGGGCCGGCCCGUCGGGCUGCUGAAUUAAAAAAAAUCGAAAAAAUAGGAAUUUGAAAUGUAAUUUUAGGGUAUGCUUUGAGUUAUGCGGCGCCUCCUCCAGUCCUCCAUUCUUCCUCCUNNNNNNNNNNNNNNNNNNNNNNNNNNNNNNNNNNNNNNNNNNNNNNNNNNNNNNNNNNNNNNNNNNNNNAUAGUAUUUGAUAAUAUACAAAAUAUGGUUGAAACUUAUUUUUGUUGGGGGACUCUCUGCCAAACUUAAUUAGCCUUUCUCUUUAAUGUUGCUGCAAAGUGAUUUUACAGCAAGUAAAUAUCAAUUAAAGCCUAAAUAUAUUUAUAUAUAUUUUGCUUUCGUAAUUCUUUAUUUGAUGCAAAGGUAUAAGAUGGUAUCCGAAGUACAGUUUAUUCCACAUUUAAAUACUAAUCUUUUCCUUGAUUAAUUAAUGAUUUAUUUGCAUAUUAAUUAAUGAUGAUUGGUUACUAUCUUAUUUUAAUAUAAUUUUGUUCAUGUUGUAUGUGUUAAAGACGGAGGACUCAUCUCCAAGUGUUGAUAUGGAGAGUGGUGAAGAAGAUGUCAAAAUUCUUGACGAUUCCAAGCCUAAGAAGAGACAAAAAACUUCUGAAGUUUGGAAAAACUUUUCAGAAGACAAACUUUAAUUUGAAACUAUUGUUGAAUAUUUUAUUUUUAUUUUUUUAACAAGUUGAACAUUUUAUUGUUAUUAACUUAUUUUAUAUGUUAUGUGAUCAUGAAUAUCUUAUAUUUUUG
rnacentral:lncRNA from 1 species